rnacentral:miRNA from 1 species
UUAGCCUACCUAGUCCUGAUU